rnacentral:rRNA from 1 species
UACGGGGGGGGUAAGCGUUGUUCGGAAUUACUGGGCGUAAAGGGCUCGUAGGCGGCCAACUAAGUCGGACGUGAAAUCCCUCAGCUUAACUGGGGAACUGCGUCCGAUACUGGAUGGCUUGGAUUUGGGAGAGGGAUGCGGAAUUCCAGGUGUAGCGGUGAAAUGCGUAGAUAUCUGGAGGAACACCGGUGGCGAAGGCGGCAUCCUGGACCAACAUUGACGCUGAGGAGCGAAAGCUAGGGGAGCAGACGGG